AGGACGAACGCUGGCGGCGUGCUUAACACAUGCAAGUCGAGCGAGGCCCUUCCUUCGGGAAGGUGCCCUAGCGGCGAACGGGUGAGUAACACGUGGGCAACCUGCCCCUAGCACUGGGAUAACUCCGGGAAACCGGGGCUAAUACCGGAUAUGACCUUCGAGGGCAUCCUUGAAGGUGUAAAGGAUUCUGGCUAGGGAUGGGCCCGCGGCCUAUCAGCUUGUUGGUGGGGUAAUGGCCUACCAAGGCGACGACGGGUA
rnacentral:rRNA from 1 species